GUACUUACCUGGCAGGGGAGACACCAUGAUCAGGCAGGUGGUUUUCCCAGGGCUAGGCUCAUCCCCUGCACUCCGGGUGUGCUGACCCCUGUGAUUUCCCCAGAUGCGGGAAACUCGACUGCAUAAUUUGUGGUAGUGGAGGACUGCGUUUUAGUCCUGCAUCUG
rfam:Mesitornis unicolor contig101832, whole genome shotgun sequence.